GAUGAACGCUAGCGGCAGGCUUAACACAUGCAAGUCGAGGGGUAGAGGUUGCUUGCAACCUUGAGACCGGCGCACGGGUGCGUAACGCGUAUGCAACCUACCUUUUACAGAGGGAUAGCCCAGAGAAAUUUGGAUUAAUACCUCAUAGUAUAUAACAUUCGCAUGUUUGUUAUAUUAAAGUUCCAACGGUAAAAGAUGGGCAUGCGUCCUAUUAGCUAGAUGGUAAGGUAACGGCUUACCAUGGCCACGAUAGGUAGGGGUCCUGAGAGGGAGAUCCCCCACACUGGUACUGAGACACGGACCAGACUCCUACGGGAGGCAGCAGUGAGGAAUAUUGGACAAUGGGCGCAAGCCUGAUCCAGCCAUGCCGCGUGCAGGAAGAAGCAUCUAUGGUGUGUAAAACUGCUUUUUGUACGGGAAGAAACACUCCUUCGUGAAGGAGCUUGACGGUACCGUAAGAAUAAGGAUCGGCUAACUCCGUGCCAGCAGCCGCGGU
rnacentral:rRNA from 1 species